rnacentral:rRNA from 1 species
UAGCCUUGACAUAUAUUAGAACUCCGUAGAGAUACAGAGGUGCCUUCGGGAGCUUUUAUACAGGUGCUGCACGGCUGUCGUCAGCUCGUGUCGUGAGAUGUUGGGUUAAGUCCCGCAACGAGCGCAACCCUCGUCACUAGUUACUAACGAUUCGGUCGAGGACUCUAGUGAGACUGCCUUCGUAAGGAGGAGGAAGGUGAGGACGACGUCAAGUCAUCAUGGCCCUUACGGCUAGGGCAACACACGUGCUACAAUGGCCAGGACAGUGAGACGCGAUACCGUGAGGUGGAGCAAAUCUAUAAACCUGGUCUCAGUUCGGAUUGUAGUCUGCAACUCGACUACAUGAAGCUGGAAUCACUAGUAAUCGUAGAUCAGCUAUGCUACGGUGAAUACGUUCCCGGGUCU